rnacentral:rRNA from 1 species
GACGAACGCUGGCGGCGUGCCUAAUACAUGCAAGUUGAGCGCUGAAGGUUGGUACUUGUACCAACUGGAUGAGCAGCGAACGGGUGAGUAACGCGUGGGGAAUCUGCCUUUGAGCGGGGGACAACAUUUGGAAACGAAUGCUAAUACCGCAUAAAAACUUUAAACACAAGUUUUAAGUUUGAAAGAUGCAAUUGCAUCACUCAAAGAUGAUCCCGCGUUGUAUUAGCUAGUUGGUGAGGUAAAGGCUCACCAAGGCGAUGAUACAUAGCCGACCUGAGAGGGUGAUCGGCCACAUUGGGACUGAGACCCGGCCCAAACGCCUUCGGGAGGCAGCAGUAGGGAAUCUUCGGCAAGGGGCGAAAGUCUGACCGAGCAACGCCGCGUGAGUGAAGAAGGAUUUCGGAUCGUAAAACUCUGUUGGUAGAGAAGAACGUUGGUGAGAGUGGAAAGCUCAUCAAGUGACGGUAACUACCCAGAAAGGGACGGCUAACUACGUG